AUUGAACGCUGGCGGAAUGCUUUACACAUGCAAGUCGAACGGCAGCACGGGGGCAACCCUGGUGGCGAGUGGCGAACGGGUGGGUAAUACAUCGGAACGUGCCCAGUCGUGGGGGAUAACGUAGCGAAAGCUACGCUAAUACCGCAUACGAUCUACGGAUGAAAGCGGGGGAUCGCAAGACCUCGCGCGAUUGGAGCGGCCGAUGGCAGAUUAGGUAGUUGGUGGGGUAAAGGCUCACCAAGCCGACGAUCUGUAGCUGGUCUGAGAGGACGACCAGCCACACUGGGACUGAGACACGGCCCAGACUCCUACGGGAGGCAGCAGUGGGGAAUUUUGGACAAUGGGGGCAACCCUGAUCCAGCCAUGCCGCGUGAGUGAAGAAGGCCU
rnacentral:rRNA from 1 species